rnacentral:tRNA from 1 species
GCCUAGUUACCUCAGUUGGUAGUGCGUCUGCCUCGUAAGCGCUAGGCCGCGGGUUCGAUUCCCGCCCGGGGCG